AAGAAUCCAAAAAUUAGCCGGGCAUGGUGGCGCGUGCCUGUAAUCCCAGCUAUUCAGGAGGCUGAGGCAGGAGAAUCGCUUGAAACCGGGAGAUGGAGGUUGCAGUAAGCUGAGAUCGCGCCACCACACUCCAGCCUGGGUGACAGAGCAAGACUCCGUCUUGAAAAAAUAAAAAAUGAACCAAAGGCUUGGGUGGUGAGGGUGCUUAUCCUUUCUGUAAUUCUGUGGAUGAAAAAGCUUUCUGGGACCCUCUUGAAUUAUUCGCUGUAACAAAUGAAGUGAUGUGGUUUCUAUUAAAAAAAUAAUAAUGCAUUCAAACAAACAAAAAUAAAUAAAUAUGAAUAAAAGUACCCUCACAAAAUGCAGCCAGUCUGCCAGAUUACAGUGACCCAGAUUCUCCAGUCUCCUGCCUGGGACCCAAAAAGAUACAUCUGGCUCUACUUUUUUUUGUUAAGGAGAGACAGGGUCUGGCUCUGUCACCCAGGCUGGAGUACAGUGGCAUGAUCAUAGUUCACUGCAGCCUCAAACUCCUGGGCACAAGUGAUCCUUUUGCCUCAGCCUCAGCUUGUAGCUGGGAGUACAACUGUGUGCCACCACAACAGGCUAAUUUUUUUUGUAUUUUUUGUAGAGACAUGAUCUCACUAUGUUGCCUAGGCUGGACUUGAAAUCCUGGGUUCAGAUGAUGCUCCUGCCUUGGCAUUCCAAAGUACUGGGAUUAUAGUGUAAGCCACCAUGCCCAGCCCUGUUUUUUGUUUUGUUUUUUUAAUUUAUCACAUCAUUAUAGAUUAGAACCAACAUCAGUGCUGAUCUGCAUACAUGUAAUUUCUACCUGAGUUUCUAUAGCCAGAUCCAAGUCCUUGUAUAAACCCUGGGACCAUCAGCAAUCUCAAAAAUCCUGAAAGCAGAAUGUAUUCUGACUCUACCAGGUCUGAAAUCCUUCUCAUGGAGUAUCUGAUUUCCUCCCCAUCAGUCCUAUUGGAAUACCUACCCAACUGCUUCUUCAAGUCUUCCUUCAAAACACAAAAUCACUGCACUUCCUUACAAAGAAGGAUCAGAGAAAACAGCUGCUUGCAGUAAAAUGUAGCCCUUCCCCCUGGUUGUGCAGGAGUGGCUGCUGGCCUUCCUGGAGUCUUUCUGAAAUGGCUUCCAAGUUUCUUUUCUUUUUUCUUUUUUUGAGACAGAGUCUCACUCUGUUGCCCAGGCUGGAAUGUAGUGGUGCUAUCUCAGCUCACUGCAGCCUCUGCCUCCCGGGUUCAAGCGAUUCUCCUGCCUCAGCCUCCCAAGUAGCUGGGAUUACAGGCGCGUGCCACCACACCCAGCUAAUUUUUGUAUUUUUAGUAGAGAUGGGGUUUCACCAUGUUGCCCAGGCUGGUCUCAAACUCCUGACCUCAGGUGAUCUGCCUGCCUCGGCCUCCCAAAGUGCUGGGAUUAUAGGCGUGAGCCACCACGCCCGGCUAACUUGUAAGUUUCUCUUAGCUUCCUGUACAGAAGGCUUCAGGUGCCGAUAUUACUGCAUUACUCAUACAGUAAUAUAGUCUUACCCCUUGCUGUUGUGGCAGUUGGUCAUUCCAACUUCAUGGCUCUGCUUCUAAUAUAACAUCCCUGUCUAAAAUGCAGACAUACAUGUGUACACUUUAAAAAAA
rnacentral:lncRNA from 1 species